rnacentral:tRNA from 1 species
GCCCAGGUAGCUCAGUUGGUAGAGCAACGGACUGAAAAUCCGUGUGUCGCCGGUUCGAUUCCGGCCCUGGGCA